rnacentral:rRNA from 1 species
AUUGAACGCUGGCGGCAGGCCUAACACAUGCAAGUCGAACGAGUGGCGGACGGGUGAGUAAUGUCUGGGAAACUGCCCGAGGGAGGGGGAUAACUACUGGAAAAGGUAGCUAAUACCGCAUACCAUCGGAUGUGCCCAGAUGGGAUGAGCGAGUAGGUGGGGAAACGGCUCACCCAGGCGACGAUACCUAGCGGGACUGAGAGGAUGACCAGCCACACUGGAAUGGAGACACGGUCCAGACUCCUACGUGAGGCAGCAGUGGGGAAUAUUGCACAAUGGGCGCAAGCCUGAUGCAGCCAUGCCGCGUGUAUGAAGAAGGCUUUCGGGUUGUAAAGUACUUUCAGCGAGGAGGCGUUACUCGCAGAAGAAGCACCGGCUAACUCCGUGCCAGCAGCCGCGGUAAUAC